rnacentral:rRNA from 1 species
CCCUUAGACGUUCUGGGCCGCACGCGCGCUACACUGACGUAGGCAACAAGCUUUCCUUCACCGAAAGGUGUGGGUAAUCUUUUGAAACUACGUCGUGCUGGGGAUAGAUCCUUGCAAUUUUUGAUCUUAAACGAGGAAUUCCUAGUAAGCGCGAGUCAUCAACUCGCGUUGAUUACGUCCCUGCCCUUUGUACACACCGCCCGUCGCACCUACCGAUUGGAUGGUCCGGUGAAGCCUCGGGAUUGUGGUUCUUGCCGCUUUAUUGUGGCGUGACCGCGAGAACUUGUCUAAACCUUAUCAUCUAGAGGAAGGUGAAGUCGUAACA